UACAAUUUUAUUUCACAAUGAAAUGGAAAUAUAAGGAAUCACUGUCUAGUUAAUAUAGUAUGCCAGGGACAUCAACGAUAGUGGGAAACAUGGGGUAAUUUAUGCAUAAUGGGCUUAGCCCGUUAUGCAAAUUAUCCCAUGUUUCCCACUAUCGUUGAUGCCCUGGCAUACUACACUUACUAGACAGUGAUUCCUUAAAGGUCUUACGCAAGGAAAUAGCAUCAAAAUGAACUUAGUCAAUUGAAGUUCCAUAUAUAUAGAGAUGAUCUUUUUUUUCUUUUUUCAUUUUUGGCAAUUUGUUUUAGGCCUACAGUAAUAAAAUUGGACUCAUGUACUAGGAACAUCAUUUCUUUAGCAGAAUUAUCCCACUGAAUUAAAAGGAACUCUUUUUUCAGGUGCGCAUGAUGCAACUUCCUUGAUGAUGUGUAGGCUGUUUGUCAACAUGUGAAUCCAACGUGCAUUUCUGGGUGUUGUCUCCCCUUGAAAAGAUCAAUAAUGGCGGAUAAACAAUGCGGCAUGCAGUCUGGUCACCAACGGACAGUUUUGACACUGUAUACCUGUAUUUCUACCAAUUACCUCAGUAACCUUUGUUGUGAUCACACAGAUGAUGGACCACUCUACUCUCUUUUACAACAGGUGCCCCUACAGAUUCACAAAGUUCCAGUGUUGAGUUUCCAUGACCCCUAUUCAUCCAAGACAGGAAAAGGAAUAGAGUUGACAGGACUUCUUGCACUGUCCCUGGUAGCAGUUUAUGAGGGAACCAACCACAGUAGACAUAGCACGCUUCAUCAAAGAUGCACCAGAUGCAGCGGCUUUGUCUCCAUCACUGGUGAAAUGGGAUAUAAGUGGCUGGUCAUCACUUUGUAACUCACCAACACAAUUAGCAACCCAUCUCUUCUUGUCUCCAAUGGUGGUCUCCGGAGGAAUGGUUGCAGUGCAGUCUUCUUGUCUUGGGCAGGUCUGUUGCAUAUUGGCAGCUGACGCUGGUUCAAUAUUUGCACCAAGAAGCAUACUACACAUACCCUCUG